GCGGCCGAUUAGGUAGUUGCUGGGGUAACGUCCCAACAAGCCGAUAAUCGGUACGGGUUGUGAGAGCAAGAGCCCGGAGAUGGAUUCUGAGACACGAAUCCAGGUCCUACGGGGCGCAGCAGGCGCGAAAACUUUACACUGCGCGAAAGCGCGAUAAGGGGACCUCGAGUGCGUGCGCAAUGCGUACGCUUUUCAGAUGCCUAAAAAGCAUCUGGAAUAAGGGCCGGGCAAGACCGGUGCCAGCCGCCGCGGUAACACCGGCGGCUCAAGUGGUGGCCGCUAUUAUUGGGCUUAAAGGGUCCGUAGCCGGACCAGUUAGUCCCUUGGGAAAUCUUACGGCUUAACCGUAAGGCUGCCAAUGGAUACUGCUGGUCUUGGGACCGGGAGAGGCAAGAGGUACCUCAGGGGUAGGAGUGAAAUCCUGUAAUCCUUGAGGGACCGCCAGUGGCGAAGGCGUCUUGCUAGAACGGGUCCGACGGUGAGGGACGAAAGCUAGGGGCACGAACCGGAUUAGAUACCCGGGUAGUCCUAGCCGUAAACGAUGCGAGUUAGGUGUCACGUGGAUUGCGAAUCCAUGUGGUGCCGAAGGGAAACCGUGAAGCUCGCCGCCUGGGAAGUACGGCCGCAAGGCUGAAACUUAAAGGAAUUGGCGGGGGAGCAC
rnacentral:rRNA from 1 species